CCUACGGGAGGCAGCAGUAGGGAAUCUUCCACAAUGGACGAAAGUCUGAUGGAGCAACGCCGCGUGAGUGAUGAAGGUUUUCGGAUCGUAAAACUCUGUUGUAAGGGAAGAACAAGUACGAGAGGGAAUGCUCGUACCUUGACGGUACCUUGCGAGAAAGCCACGGCUAACUACGUGCCAGCAGCCGCGGUAAUACGUAGGUGGCAAGCGUUGUCCGGAAUUAUUGGGCGUAAAGCGCGCGCAGGCGGCCUUUUAAGUCUGAUGUGAAAGCCCCCGGCUCAACCGGGGAGGGUCAUUGGAAACUGGAAGGCUUGAGUACAGAAGAGAAGAGUGGAAUUCCAUGUGUAGCGGUGAAAUGCGUAGAGAUGUGGAGGAACACCAGUGGCGAAGGCGACUCUUUGGUCUGUAACUGACGCUGAGGCGCGAAAGCGUGGGGAGCAAACAGGAUUAGAUACCCUGGUAGUCCACGCCGUAAACGAUGAGUGCUAGGUGUUGGGGGGUUUCCGCCCCUCAGUGCUGAAGCUAACGCGUUAAGCACUCCGCCUGGGGAGUACGGCCGCAAGGCUGAAACUCAAAGAGUAGUAGGCGUGAGACGUGCCGACGACGACACGACGGGAGGUUAGG
rnacentral:rRNA from 1 species